rnacentral:rRNA from 1 species
UACGGAGGGUGCAAGCGUUAAUCGGAAUUACUGGGCGUAAAGCGCACGCAGGUGGCUGAGUCAGUCGAUUGUGAAAGCCCUGGGCUUAACCUGGGAAUUGCAGUCGAUACUACUCAGCUAGAGUAUGGGAGAGGGUAGUGGAAUUCCCGGUGUAGCGGUGAAAUGCGUAGAUAUCAGGAAGAACACCCGUGGCGAAGGCGGCUCUCUGGGACGGUACUGACGCUGAGACGCGAAAGCGUGGGGAGCGAACAGG